AAAUUGAAGAGUUUGAUCAUGGCUCAGAUUGAACGCUGGCGGCAGGCCUAACACAUGCAAGUCGAACGGUAACAGGAAACAGCUUGCUGUUUCGCUGACGAGUGGCGGACGGGUGAGUAAUGUCUGGGAAACUGCCUGAUGGAGGGGGAUAACUACUGGAAACGGUAGCUAAUACCGCAUAAUGUCGCAAGACUAAAGAGGGGGACCUUCGGGCCUCUUGCCAUCGGAUGUGCCCAGAUGGGAUUAGCUAGUAGGUGGGGUAACGGCUCACCUAGGCGACGAUCCCUAGCUGGUCUGAGAGGAUGACCAGCCACACUGGAACUGAGACACGGUCCAGACUCCUACGGGAGGCAGCAGUGGGGAAUAUUGCACAAUGGGCGCAAGCCUGAUGCAGCCAUGCCGCGUGUAUGAAAAAGGCCUUCGGGUUGUAAAGUACUUUCAGCGGGGAGGAAGGGAGUAAAGUUAAUACCUUUACUCAUUGACGUUACCCGCAGAAGAAGCACCGGCUAACUCCGUGCCAGCAGCCGCGGUAAUACGGAGGGUGCAAGCGUUAAUCGGAAUUACUGGGCGUAAAGCGCACGCAGGCGGUUUGUUAAGUCAGAUGUGAAAUCCCCGGGCUCAACCUGGGAACUGCAUCUGAUACUGGCAAGCUUGAGUCUCGUAGAGGGGGGUAGAAUUCCAGGUGUAGCGGUGAAAUGCGUAGAGAUCUGGAGGAAUACCGGUGGCGAAGGCGGCCCCCUGGACGAAGACUGACGCUCAGGUGCGAAAGCGUGGG
rnacentral:rRNA from 1 species